UUUGCGUCGAAGGUAUACCGGUAAGGAGUGCUGGAGCGAAUAGAAGUGAGCAUGCAGGCAUGAGUAGCGAUAAUUAAUGUGAGAAUCAUUAACGCCGUAAACCCAAGGUUUCCUACGCGAUGCUCGUCAUCGUAGGGUUAGUCGGGUCCUAAGUCGAGUCCGAAAGGGGUAGACGAUGGCAAAUUGGUUAAUAUUCCAAUACCAACAUUAGUGUGCGAUGGAAGGACGCUUAGGGCUAAGGGGGCUAGCGGAUGGAAGUGCUAGUCUAAGGUCGUAGGAGGUUAUACAGGCAAAUCCGUAUAACAAUACUCCGAGAACUGAAAGGCUUUUUGAAGUCUUCGGAUGGAUAGAAGAACCCCUGAUGCCGUCGAGCCAAGAAAAGUUUCUAAGUUUAGCUAAUGUUGCCCGUACCGUAAACCGACACAGGUGGGUGGGAUGAGUAUUCUAAGGCGCGUGGAAGAACUCUCUUUAAGGAACUCUGCAAAAUAGCACCGUAUCUUCGGUAUAAGGUGUGGUUAGCUUUGUAUUAGGAUUUACUCCGAAAGCAAGGAAACUUACAACAAAGAGUCCCUCCCGACUGUUUACCAAAAACACAGCACUCUGCUAACUCGUAAGAGGAUGUAUAGGGUGUGACGCCUGCCCGGUGCUCGAAGGUUAAUUGAUGGGGUUAGCAUUAGCGAAGCUCUUGAUCGAAGCCCGAGUAAACGGCGGCCGUAACUAUAACGGUCCUAAGGUAGCGAAAUUCCUUGUCGGUUAAAUACCGACCUGCAUGAAUGGCGUAACGAGAUGGGAGCUGUCUCAAAGAGGGAUCCAGUGAAAUUGUAGUGGAGGUGAAAAUUCCUCCUACCCGCGGCAAGACGGAGAGACCCCGUGGACCUUUACUACAGCUUGACACUGCUAUUUGGAUAAGAAUGUGCAGGAUAGGUGGGAGGCUUUGAGUAUAUGACGCCAGUUGUAUAUGAGCCAUUGUUGAGAUACCACUCUUUCUUAUUUGGGUAGCUAACCAGCUUGAGUUAUCCUCAAGUGGGACAAUGUCUGGUGGGUAGUUUGACUGGGGCGGUCGCCUCCCAAAUAAUAACGGAGGCUUACAAAGGUUGGCUCAGAACGGUUGGAAAUCGUUCGUAGAGUAUAAAGGUAUAAGCCAGCUUAACUGCAAGACAUACAAGUCAAGCAGAGACGAAAGUCGGUCUUAGUGAUCCGGUGGUUCUGUGUGGAAGGGCCAUCGCUCAAAGGAUAAAAGGUACCCCGGGGAUAACAGGCUGAUCUCCCCCAAGAGCUCACAUCGACGGGGAGGUUUGGCACCUCGAUGUCGGCUCAUCGCAUCCUGGGGCUGGAGCAGGUCCCAAGGGUAUGGCUGUUCGCCAUUUAAAGCGGUACGCGAGCUGGGUUCAGAACGUCGUGAGACAGUUCGGUCCCUAUCUGCCGUGGGCGUAAGAAGAUUGAAGAGAUUUGACCCUAGUACGAGAGGACCGGGUUGAACAAACCACUGGUGUAGCUGUUGUUCUGCCAAGAGCAUCGCAGCGUAGCUAAGUUUGGAAAGGAUAAACGCUGAAAGCAUCUAAGCGUGAAGCCAACUCUAAGAUGAAUCUUCUCUAAGCUCUCUAGAAGACUACUAGUUUGAUAGGCUGGGUGUGUAAUGGAUGAAAGUCCUUUAGCUGACCAGUACUAAUAGAGCGUUUGGCUUAUCUUUAAUAAAGCAU
rnacentral:rRNA from 1 species